GGCCGGUCGGGGCUUGCGCCCCAGCAGUCCGCACGCCAGGUGGAAGUGCUUGUGAGGUCGGGCUCCGCCCUUGCGCCCCAGCAGGCCUCGCGUCAGGUGGAAGUGCUCGCGAGGUUUCCCAGGGCCACGCGGUAGCCGUGCAGGGGCGGGGUGGGGUUUACGACGGUGGCCGGGGCUGGGGAGCCGUGACAACUUGCUGGGCGCCAGGUAGGCCUGGAGGCCGUGAACUCGUGGUGGUCCGCCCAGGCUGGUAGGCCCAGCUAGGGCAUGGGCACGGGACCGACACGGCGCCGAGCGCAGUACUGGGCCUUCUUGCUCACGUGAGUCCCUGGAGCCUCCUUGGCCUCGCGGUUGGGCAAGCGCUCCGGCUGCUUCGCCUCUGGGCCGGCCGACCGACAAGGUUUCCCUGCUGAUUGAUUCUCUCUUCUCUGUCUGUCACUCCUUCUGAGGUAAACUCAUUAAGCCAAAUAACUCCGUACAUUUUAUUUGCAACCAGAUUCCUCACUUCAGCAGCUUACACAUUGCUGAAGUUGGCCACCAGCCCUCAGAAUAUAUAAUCUUAGGGUUUCAGUGUCCCAAACCCUGUGAAUAUGUCUGACACCGUUAGAAAGAUUGAUUGGAAGAAAAUUAGAUUGGCCAUUGGCCAACCAGUAAACUGAUUAGCUUUAAAUCGAAUAUCUAUUCUUGUCCAAUCAGUAAUGGCCAGAAGGAGAGGCCUCUAGACCCGCUGUCAGUCAACAGAUAACUGUGGGCCAGAGCUAACUUCUCUGAACAGGAGGCACAGAAAAGACAGAGUAGAUUCAUGCGCCAAAGCCACUUCAGUUACGCAUGGAAGCAUUUGUGUUUCUUCUUGGAAACUUGCUUACGCUUCGGCCUCACAGUUUGGACUGGUUCUCGAGUUUACACAGCCUCUUCUGCUUUUCUAAUUGUGUAGUGAAAAGAGAGACAUGUUGGGCCCCAGAAGGACAUUUAUUUCAAAAUGCUCAAAUAAUUUGUCUGCUUCUGUCAGAAGAGGAGGAGGGGAAAGAGGAAGAGGAAGAAAAGGAGGGAAGGAAAUGAGAAUGGAGCCAAUUGACUGUUAGUUUUGGAAAGAAAAGCUUAUACCACAUGCCCAUGAGAGACUUUAAUGUCUUUUAGCUAAAGCUGGGCUCCAAGGCCAAAUUUAGAAUAGUGUGCUUCCUAUUCCACAGGCUCCAAACCAAAUGACUAUAUGAAAACAUCUCAUGAUAAAGCUUUCAUGAUUUAGUAAUGUUUCAUUUCAAUUAUUUUCAAGUACCACAAGAGAAAAAUAAAGACUAACCUAGGCCUUUAAAUGUCAAGCUCAAAUCUGUACUAGGAUAAAAGAUAGGAUUUUUCUGGACCCUAGAAUACCAUGAGUCGGCCAGUGAUACAGAAACUCAUGAAAGUAUUCACUGUAUGACACCCAUGACAGUUUGAAAGACAUGGACAAACUAUGGACACUGUGUUGUCCUGGAGAAAAUGUUGGUCGUGAUUAAAAUAAAUUGAAUUUUCAAAUAGUAAUUAGCUUAGGAAGCUGUGUUUUUGUGUAACAUGUAGAUCUGUCUAUAAUGAUUCAUG
ensembl:lncRNA